UAGGACACUGCUGUUGUGAGAUGAUGCACGGAGAGAUGAUCAGGCCUUUGGAAGGGAAAAGAAAAGACUUUGUCCUGCCUCUAGCUUGACUGUAAACCAAGGUGUUCCUGCAGCAGCUCACACACCUCGUGGGUUUGGAGACAGAGAAGGUGGUUCGGAAGUCUCAGAAGAGAUUCUUUUAAAGCUAAUUGACUGUACAAGAGAGAAUAAACAGAUCCUGAGAAGAGAAUGAAAUGUCCACAGAAAAUAUUUUACAUCCCCAAAAAUGUACUUAAUAUAAGUCUCUUUCUCAGCUUUAGUCUCUACUAACAGAGACAAAUGAAACUACAACUAUCAACAAGAUAUGAAGGAAUACAUACACUCACUAUCUCACUCAGUUAUGCUCCAAACCCUAAUUUUCAUACCAGCUGCAGGUUUGAUUUACAAAGACCUUUAUGGUUACUAUCUUGGUUUCCUUAGAGACCACCUUAGACUCACACUCCAUGUUUUAUCAGAAAAAGGCCAAAUCACCUGAGGUUUUUUGGAGCCUGGAUGUUGUCUCUGAAGGUACUGGUGGCAGAGCUGUUUUGGCGGACAGCCCUUACAGCAGAUGUUCUCACAGGGGCUCACUGGUUCACACAGGCACUGCUUUUUUCUUAAGGAUGAGUAGCUGAAGAUGAAGAUAAUAACUGAGGAACCGAGACCUGCUCCAGCAAAACACCUAAGCAUACAAUGAAGUAUUCUUUUGAUCAAGAGCUGAGAUACUUCAAAGAGAGAUGUAUUAUGGCAUCAUGGAGAAAGUGGCUUGAUGUUUUGCCUCAUUCAGGAGGUAAACCAGACUGUCUUCAUGGUUCAUUAAUUUACCGGCUAACGUGUAACACCAUCCAAGAGUUCUCCAGUCCAACAGCAGAGCCAGGCACUGCUGUACUGUCUUUGAUGACAGCGUGCUAAUCCUGCAGAGCCGCAUAUUUGGCUGACACUUUGAAUGGCUGCUGUGGCCUCCUGUCAAAUUACGCAGCAUCUACUUUAUUCCAUGCUUCAUGGUUUGGGACUUCUGGCAAAGCAUGAGAUCAGCCUCUGCUCAAUAGUUCAUAUGCUGGCUGUGAGACCUUUUGCGGCCUGCAGCUUUUCUGUCCACCAAUUUUGGAGGAGCUUUGCCUGCAGAAGGCUCACUACUCCUUUCUGUAGAGGACCAGAAUACAUGUCACUCUGCUGGGGAUAUUUUGAGUUCUCUAGUACAUUUCCAGGUGAAAAAGUACAAUCCUGGCUAGAAAGCUGAUAAGAGGUUAUCACGAGCUUGCAUACUAUCCUUCUUUAUGAAUCUCAUGGCUUUAGUAAGGAAGAUAAUCAUUAUCAGAAAGACUCCCUACUAGAUGCUGGAGAAGACCAUGUACAGAAAUCAGAAGUACAAAGUUACUUUUCUGUUGCAGAGAUUUUGGGGUAUGUCUGCCAGGCAUUGAUUGCCACAGGCAUAACUGAAGUUCCACUUUCCUCACAGAGUUGCUUGCAGUACUUUGAUCCUGAUUCUCCAGCCAUUGCAGCUGCAAGCUGAAGUCACAGAUAUUCAGGUUUGUUCUGCACCCUCUAUACACACACCAGCCUGGAGCUGAUGGAUUCAUCAAUCAAUGCUGGUUUUGAGGUCCUGAUCAUCUGAAUGAAUUUAGCAAACUACAAGACAUGAAAUUACUAUGGUACAUCCAAGGGUGCCUAGAAUAAAGAGUGUCACACUCCUCCUAGGAGGAAAGAAAGAAAGAGGAGUAGAGCGGGAAUAUGCACAAGCAAGGAAAUGGCCACUCUGGUAAAUAUAUCAAAAUCAUAUGGACCCAAAUAAGACCUCUGGUGGAAGUGGGAAGAGACAUUGUUGCAACCAAGGGAAUGAACCCUUUUUUUUGCUGCUCCCUUACAGCACCAGGAAGUCCUUUUUCAUUAUUAUACGUUCUUGAUGUAAGAGGCAUCUCCUGGGGAAUUCCAUUUUUUACUUGUGGUGACAGAAUGGAGGAGAUACCCCUGGAAGAACUGGACUCCACAGAAGAAAUAUAUGCAGCUAAGUAUAAUAGUAUUGAAAAAUAAAUCAAUAAUUAUAAUUUUCACGGCACUCGAGAUCAGUCAGGACAAGGAACAUAGUCAGCUAAUUAACGUCCUCUUCAGUUCGCAUCACUCCACUACAGUGGGACUCUGGAUUGGCACAGCACACCUGCGAUCACCUUCAAUAGCCACUGGAUGUCACUGAUGAUCCACACAAAAUCAGCUUAACCCUUUAAACAUUAUCUUGUAAUGCAUGGAAGAGCCAGCAAAGAGGUCACUUACUCCCAUGAAGGUGGGGAUGUGAGUUGUCUAUCACCAACAUCUGCAAUGGCAGAUAAAUAAGAAAGUAUCAAAAAAACCAGAUAUGGUCAACUGCAAGGCACACCAUGAGUCAGGAUACUUCAAAGUACUAUUUGAAUGUGAGAUGAUGGCUACUUAUGGCCCUUGAAAAUGCGCUAUCAAGCCUUCUUGUAUGUUCCAAUGCAUAACAAAUUAAGUGGGAGGACAUCUUUUUUUUUAGUGUUGGACUGUUCUUUUCACAGCAUAUAAAAACUGACUGGAAAUUUGGUUUUCUUAUUUAGACAUUUCAACAACUCUGGGAUUUUUCUGGAAGGACUAUAGGAAUUCUUUCCCUUAUCUGGGGAUUCUAAAUUGCCUUAGUUUGAUGAGAAAUAAAUAAUUUUCCAGCAUGUUCCUUCUCUCUGAAAGACAAAAUUCUCAAUGGCAAUCCAAAGGAGAGAAGCAGAUUGUUACCUGCCAUAGCAAGAAUAGUAGAGGAAUGAGAACAACAUCAAAACCAAAGCAUUUAUAUUCACAAACACAUUCUUCUUAUAAUUGGCAAAUUCAUGAUAGUGAUGAGCUGGUUCUUUCUGUACUUUACUACUGAGUAUAUUAAGUGAAGAGUAGUGAGAAGUGUACUUGUCUAUUACAGAAAUGAAGUUCAAAAGAAGAGUUUUCAAUGUUUUGGGGCCAUUGCAUUCUAUCUGGAUUUAAAUGGCUUUCUUUUUUAUCCUCAUGAAGAUUUCUUUUCCUUCAAGCAGAAGCUAUCAUCUUGAGAAAUCCAUGUAUCAAUUAACUAGUUUAUUUCCUCUAACAUUUCAACUUAAUUCUUUGCUUGCUGCUUGAUGCCAAUGUAUCCUUUUGUUCGAGGAUGGUAUGGAGAUAGUGAUCAGAGCUUUUAAAGACUCAUUUACAGCUAGGGUAAGACACAGCACAAUGAGCUCUUUUCACUGAUACACUUUUAGAUAGCUCAUUAACUAUAUACUGUGAAGCCAAUUGAAUCUUUAAAGAAAACGACAGUAUAUUCUCCAGGUAAAAGUCUAUUUAGUUGCCCAGUUGAAUCUGAAAAAUUAUGUAAAAUGUUGCAAUGUGAUAGUAAUUGUCUGUAGAAGCAAUGCAGAAGCAACCACAUAAUGAUCUAUGAAUAAGAAUCUUACCUGGCAUGUGAAUAAAAAUUAUUCUGUUUUAAAUAGUCUUUCUUUUCACAUUGUGUUUCUCAGACAGCUUCAUCAUCUUAUCUCUGGCUUUAGACAACAUCCAUGGAAUGAGAAAAGUCAGCUUCCAACCUUGCUCCAGUAUAGAGUAUAACGAGGAGCCCAAGAGCCAUGUUUCAGUCCACACUGAAGUAUUCUGGCCUCCAUGGAGAAAGCUGAUUCUUCAAAAUAUAUAAUUUCACAAUAUUAACAUUGUUUAACUAAUAAAAUAAAUUACUACUACUGAUUAUAAAAUUAGCUUGCCUUAAAAAUAAAAAGUCAUCAGUAUUAUUUCCAGCAGGUGCUUUCCGUGCGGUGCAUUCUGGCGGAUAACUGCAUACAGUAUAACAAGAAGUGAAACCUCCAUUUAUCUUGAGAUGAAUAAUUUAAUUAUUUGUUCAUGAGUGUAAUAGUGUAGAUUCAUCUGUUUUGAGCGGAUUUCUUUUGUCAGGUCUUGUAUUUAAACACCACUUUCCCAUCUAUUGCUGUAAAAUCUGAUGUGGUAUGAGUGGGACUUGGCAAUGACUGGAGAUACACUUGCUUCAACAAGUCUCCAAUAGUUGAGUCAGUUGCCUCAGAUGGCUCAUUCAUUUGUCUUCAGAGGAGAAAGAAGGGUUCUUCUGGAGGAGAUUCAGAGAUUCAUAAUGUCAUGUCCCUCUAUAAAGCUCUGCAGCACAGUAAGGGUGUUAAAAGAGCGAGCGAGUGGGGUAAUCCUGGUGUUCACAAUGGAAGUUUAACACAGGGUUUUGUUUAGGCAAGGUUUUGCUUCACACGUGCUCUAGCCUUUGGUCCUGCAUUAAAGACUGAAACUCACAAAGUUUAUUUUCUUUGGUACACCCCAUCAUUUGACUUCCUGUAACAGGAAUGGAGUGCUCAGAGGCAGCUCCAUGAAGGCUAUGCACUUGAUGAUGUGCUCAUAAACCUAACUGAGAAGUUAAUGGGGACCCACUGUAAGGGUACAAUAAACCUUCAAAGAGAUUGUCCACUUAGUAUAGCUAAUGUAUAUGCCUUAUUAUCUCCAUCUUAAUUUAUCAAAAAUAAAAAUUGCUACAUGCAUUUAGAAUACUCAAAAAAGGUAUAUUCUGUUAUAUAUGCUUUCUUUUUUGUUUGUUGUUUGUUUGUUUUUCAGAUUCAGUAGCUAGAUUCACAGGAUCUCAUUUACAUCCUGACACUGACUCAUUUAAUGAUGGCAAGUAGGAAAUUUAGAAAAGCAGACAGUGGAUAUGAGAAUUUUGUUUUGCCUUCUGGGAAGCAUUCCAAGAAGGCAAAUCCUUUUCCCCUGUAACCUGCUUUGUAGGCUUUGAUGCUGCAAGAUACAAUCAAGCCCAUGACAUUAUAUUGGAAAGCAAAUAGGAUUUUGAAAAACUGUGAAAGAGAUCCAUGUGCAUACCUAAAGAAAAGAAAAGCAAGAAAAAAUCCUUCUGAAAGGAGAGAGAUAUUCUUCAUAAUUUUUUCCCAGAGAAAAUAUUUGUAGAUUAACUGCCGGUGUGCAUUUGUCAAAAGAUUACUAUGCAUGUGUGAAAAAGGACAUCAAUAGAGAGAAUGAAACUACAGAAAUAGAAUGAACACUUACAAACUGUGGUGACAGAUUUACUAAACUGAGACCAGAGAAGGAAAAAUGAGUACGUUUAAAAACAUCUGUGUAAUUGGUGAUUCUUUUCAGAUGCUGUUUAGUGCAGAAUGGACAAUAUACAAAACCAGAAAAUGUAAAUGCAGGAGGAAGUAUAACUUGGGACUUUGCUUCUCAGAGAGGCCUUUAUGCAGACAGUGGCACUUUGUGCUCAUUCACCACUAGCCUGCUUCCAACUACCGGAGAAUAUUCAUGUAUUCUUCCAGACUGAACCAAAAUUAUCCGAAAGUGUCUCCUUCACACCAGGAUAGCCUGUGCAGGGGUGAGGUGAGGUCUUAGACUUCUCAGACAGUGGAAGAGGCUGAAUUCAUUAGUCCCUGACUUCACACACUAGCCACUGAACUAUCACAUGUCAGGGAAGGACACUGCACUGUCACCACCUUCUUGGAAGGAAGAAUCACUUUCACUAGGUUUGGUGCUAGCUUCCACAAGAUGAAAGGCUGUCUUGCAAUAAAGGAAGGAAGUCCCAGAGAUGAACUGGAUUUAAGAAGUGCUCUUUCAUCUAAGUCCCCUUCAUUUUAGUAUAGAUGUCUCUACAGACCUGUGCCAGUUGUUGUAGACGUAAUUUUGAGGGACCUAGCUCUCUCAAUGCAAUGUUUGGGGAACAGAGUUCUCUAAACCAGUGAAGUGAGCUCUGCUACUGGUGGUCAGCUAUCUUACCUGCUGUAUAGGCUCACUCUAUUACAUUAAAUGUAGAAAAUAAGGAAUAAAUUGAAGUGUAUUUCAAAAAGUUAAUGCAUUUUUCUGUCAGUUGAGCUCUUUGAUUAUAUUCAAGUUUGUUGCUUAUUGUGUAAAAUGCAGCUUUUUAUAGAACCUUUAGUUUUGCAUGGGGUUUGAAUCUAAUAUAUAAGAGGCAAGAUGAGAAUUUGUAAAAGUUAUCUGGUGUGAUUUUAGUAGUAAAAUUUCUAUUGACUUCAUUUGGUGAAGAAUUAGCAGAACACUGAGACCCUUUUUAAAAAUCUCACCCUGAGAGUAAAGCAAGGCUCUGCAGUCUUUAAUACUGUACAGUGGAUUGUGUUGGAUUGUCCAAUAUCAGAAAUUUGGACCAACUCAGAAUUGAACUUAGACUUGUUUCGACAGAUUACUCAAAGGAUAUGAAAGUCAGUGUUUGCCAUUUUUAUGUUUUUAUAUCAAUUUUACUGUUACUGUGGUAAGGCAGAAGUCCUAUGAUCCAGCAAAAAGCCUGCCAGAAUGUACCCAAGUGUUUUGAACUACAAGAUGACAAAGUGAGUUUAUACUCACACAGCUGACAGAGUGAGGGAGAAGUGUUUUCUGUCAUGUGACUGCAGCAUUUUUUAUCUGGUAUUAGCUACCUGAGAGAUGAAUUGGCUACAUCAUUCAAUUGCCAUCUGAGUCUCUCAGGCUCUGCCAACAUGAUGUUUGUGAGGCUUUGACUGUGUGAGCUCUGUGUGGAUCAAAUGGGUGCCAGCUGUAACCUUGCAAUUGAGCAGAUCCUGCUGGCCUGGUGUUGGUUGUGAGCUCUCAGAUCCUGUUCGGAAUUUAUGUUGGUUUAGGCUCAGACCCAUGUGAACAGGCUGCAUGUUGUCUGGCCAGAUUGCAAUAUUGCAGAAUGAGCUUAUAUUUGCUUGGAGGGGGAAAAGAAAAAGGGUAAGCUUGCAUGUCACUGUAAAAUACUGCCCAGGCACACAUUUAGACAAAAUCCAAAAUGUACUCAAAAAUAUCUUUUUGUGAGUCAUCUGUCUGAGAGAAGGGCAAAACCCCAGAGCCCCAGAGCUCUGCCCUGUGUAAAUUUUGUGCAUUGACAUCUGCUUGCACUAGUGACAAAAUAUAUAUAUAUAUAUAUAUAUAUAUAUGUGCCAAAGCCUACUCGGGUGAUCAAAAACUACUUUAUAUAUCUAUUUGCAUGUGACAUUUUGCACUUGCACACAAAGGAAAACAGGACUGAGUUCUCUUUGAAAGAGUAACUCUUUGUGGUUGCAAACCAGGGCUAAAAUGAGUGCUAAAAUGAGCGCAAACCAAUAACCCUAGUAUGUUAACUUAUGAAUGCCACACAGGUGGCUUUCCUUGGUUUACAUUCAGAACCUCAGGGGUCUCUGUUGUAGGCUACUGCAUUCCCUGCUUAUUCUGAUCUGUUCACAGCUCCACUCUAUGUACCCCUGACAGAGACGGACCUCCUAGUGACAGUGGCUCCCUUCUGCACAGUCCAGAAUUGAGUGCUUUAGAGAUGAGAAGCUAAGAGUGGAAUAUUGGAAAGAAAGGUAGAAUCAGAAUUUCUCCUUCAAAUGAUACUUACGGGUUUGUAUAAUCUUGAGUUUUUAAAAGUGUUUUUUGCAAAACAGGUUUGUUGCUGUCAUGGAAAGCAGCACCUUAGAGGUGAAAUAAUUCCCUGCCAUCCAGUAGAUCUUUCUCCACACUCUUUUAUCUCACUUCAAGCUAUUGUUUGAUCAAUAACAGCUUAGAAAGCAAGUGUGUCUCAGCUCAGGGGGGUUUUUGGUGUUACUCUUAGGAAGUUUUCUACAUCCAUCUAUAUGUUGUGCACAGGUGCAAGGAACAUUUAAUGAGGACAUACUGGUGAAAGACCAACAGCAUUACAGAAUACAUUUAAAUUUCACAACAGCACAGGGGGUAGCAUUCAAUAGCCCAGACAUUUUAGGAUGCAGUUACAGAUACCAUAGGAUCAAACUUGAUGAAAUAGUACAGAGAGAUCAUCUGAAGUCUCCCACGAUGAGGGACAAUAACUAUAGGAACUGUUAAGCUUGGGAUGCUUGUCCUUCAAGAUUUGAGAUCCUUUUCUUUCUAAAUGAAAUUUUCUAAUAGUUUUGACAAGAUUUAGAAAAAUGUUCAAGAGCAUUUGAAUUCUAGUAUUUUUAAAAUAAAAUAUUCCAGGGGCAAGUCCAUAAAAUAUUAAUGAAGAAAAAGGAGGUGAAAUAUCAUGAAGACACAAAGCUAUUUUGUUCGACAUUUAUUUUUCUUCUUAGGCAAAUAAAAAUGUCUUCCUUUUUUUUGGAAAAAUUUUAAUUUUUCUUUACAGAAGUAAUGUGCUUAUAUGACCAGAAAAAUGAAAAUUAGUUAUUCUCAGAAUUAUAAUCUUAGUACUUCCAUUUAAUUGGAGGCAAUUGCCAUUACCAAGGCCAUUUUCACAGCAUGAGUAAUUUACUUACUAUGCCUUUAUCAUUAAUAAUCACAGAUGGACAAUAAACUGGUCCAUAAUAUGUCCCCAUCCAUCACAGCUUUGAACCAAAAUGGCUUUAGACAAGGCAGGCUAAUCUGGUUUACCUGAGCAGCCCAUUGCAUAGGCAAGAACUGGAAGAACUCCAUCUGAUUUUACUUUUUGUGCUUUCUGUAAUAGUAAGUGAUUAGCUGUGAAUCCAUAUUGUAUGUCAGUUGUAAAACCAAUUUUGGAAGUUUUACAGUUUUGCAGUCCUGAGCAAUGUUGAAUCUUUCAUGCUAUGCAGUUGCCAGGAAGAAUUUAAGCAUCAGCAUAUCUCUAAUAAGAGAAUAGUGCCUUGGAAAUACAAUUGGAAAGUUCACAAUUUUUUUUCUACCUUUUUAUACAUUUUCUGCCUUUUAAACCUCUUGUCAGUUACUAUUUCAGGUGAUUAUGUCUGUAGACAGAUAGUGCUGGCAUACCUCUCUAACUAUAUAAAUAAUUCCAAUAAUUAUAAAAGAUUGAGAAACUAAAUAGCUCUUAAACAUUCUACUGGAUUAACAUAGAUAUGCUAUUCUAAAUCUUCUGCUAACUUUUAUAUGUUUCUUUUUUUGCCUGAUAACUUUUAAACUUUAUAUUUCUGAUAACUUUUACACAUUUCCAUCCCUCAUACUCUACUUUUUUAGUACACUUCUAACAAUUAAAAUUGUAUAAAUUACCCACUUUUUUGAUGAUUUUUGUUUCUUGAAAACUUUUGCUCCCUUCUUAUUUCACAGUUUCUUCACUACUACUCUUAAUUUUAUCAAGACAGAAUAACUUGCCAUCUCUUGUCUCUUUUAUGUUCAUAAAGUACAAGUAAAAUGUUCUGAAGGUAAAUCUUAGCUAUAUAUAUGAUUUAAAAAUAAAUAAGCUCAGUUCAAAACUCAGGGAAGGUGCAGGAAAAAUGCCAAGAUGGCUUCAGACUCCAACCCUUCCUAUAUUUACAGGAUAACAACAGUAGUGGAGAAUUCCGCCCUCUAAGUCCUUGAAAAUAGUGCUUGAUCCUACUCUCAGGGUAACUUUCCACACAUUUAUUAAAUCUUUUUCAUCUCAGGUAGGGUUUGCAACAGAGUUGCUGCUGGUGGUGUUAUUUACUGUGGAAACUUAUGAAUCAGCAACGUGGCUGAGACCACCAACUUCUUGGCCUGCUACCCCUACACUUUUAUUAAUCUGUUGCAUCAUGCUUUCAUCAAGAGUUAAUAAUUUAAUGUGCAGGUCUUGUAUUAGCUUUAACUCCAUCAACACUGUGCUGCAAAUAACAGGCUGGAAUUAUUAUGGCAAAAUAUCACAGGCUGGGUAGAACACUAGGGUAGGAUGUACUAUCAUUGAAUAGCAUUUCACUGCUGAAACAAAAGCUCUCUGUUUGGCACGCUCAGUAAAGGAGUUGAUAUCCACACUUACCUUAAAUUUUCAGGAAUAUACCCACAUCUUUUAUAACUGCAACAGAAUAAUAAUGUAAUAAAUCAGUUUUAUGCAUCCUGUCUCUGUUAAAUCAUGGGAAUAGUAAUUAAAUUGUGCAAUGAAGACACUGAAUUCAAUUUCAGCAAAAAAAUCAUCCUCCUGUCCUCUUUCAGGAAAAAUACUAAGUUUAGAGGUGGGAAGUAAAUGGAGUGAGAUAAAAAGGAAAGGUGUUCCUCACACUGUUUUCAGCUGUGUUUUUCCCUAUUUGGCAUAGAAGUAUAUUUAUAGUGCUGAAAGGAGAAUAUACAUGGGUAAAUGAAAAGCAGUGUUCGUAAUCUGGAAUCUGUAGAAAUAGAAAUCUAAGCUUUGGUAAUUAGCUGUAGGGUAGUAAAAACCAUGACAGGUGCUUAUCAUAGACAUCCUCAUGGGUCACCCCUAGCUGAGCUGCUGACAUUUAAAAGAAGCCACUUGAAUUCCAUUAGGCUUCUUUCUCUAUCCUUGUUAAACCCUUUUCUUCCAUGGCAGCCCCAAGCCUCCUAGAGAAGCGUGCAAGUCACAUGCAAGCACUGCCAAAAAGACACUAAUUGGUGCCCCAACUGGCACCCUCAGAAGAGAACAGGCCAAGGAAGGAGGCUAAAAUACUUUCCAGGUCAGCCCAAAAGCAUUUUGGGGCAAAUGCGGAAAGCUCAAAAAACUCUUGCCUGAAUUUACAUCUCUUCCAGCACAGAGCGAACAAUGCUUUUAAUAACUGCUAAUUAUUCCCUUCUAAAUAACAAUUUUAGCAAAGAACACCAAGUUUAUUUACUAUGUGAGCUGUGGUUCUCACUGGAACAAGAUUCUUUUGUGUGUGUUUACAUGUAUAAAUCUAUCUGCUGUUCUGUCUUAUGCACUGGUCAAGUAGACCUUUAUAGCAAAAGAAAAUAAAUUUAACUCUAAAAGUGUUUGUCAGCAAAUCUGGCCUAUAUAGGCACUGAUCCUGCUACUUGUGAAAGUUUGAAAAUAUGAAAGCCUUAUUCUUCAGAGCUGACAUUUCAGUUCCAAGAACAAUCAUUUUUCUAGAAAUAGAUAUGCUGAAUAAAUAUUGUGCUUUUGUUUAAUUUGAUGGGUAUAUGUUCUUUAUUAUUGUAUAGCCACUCCUUCAGCUAUACCUCCAUGAUUAUUUCAUUUCAGCGCAGGGAUACUAAGUAGAAGUCUGACCACUUAUUCACCUGGAAUUAGGGAUUUUCUUUGGUCUGGAGGCAACAAACAAUAGUUCUCUUCACCUCAUAUCACAGGUCUAAAUGUCAGUUUUAUUUGCUUCUGAAAUGAGUUUUACUCAUUUUUCAGAGUGACUUCUGACAUUCAUUGUGGUCUGUAUAAACAAUAGAGAAUAACUGUUUGC